rnacentral:rRNA from 1 species
UGGGCUACACACGUGCUACAGUGGUCGGUACAAAGGGUUGCCAAGCCGCGAGGUGGAGCUAAUCCCAUAAAACCGAUCGUAGUCCGGAUCGCAGUCUGCAACUCGACUGCGUGAAGUCGGAAUCGCUAGUAAUCGUGAAUCAGAAUGUCACGGUGAAUACGUUCCCGGGCCUU